rnacentral:tRNA from 1 species
GUCCUGUUAGUUAAACGGAUAUAACAAGCCCCUCCUAAGGGCUAGUUAGGGGUUCGAUUCCCUUACGGGACG